AUGCUUACUUAGCAGCACAUACACUAAAUCAGAAUGAUACAGAGAGGAUCAGCAUGGGCCUUGUGCAAGGAUAACACCCAAAUUCAUGAGUCAUCCCAUAAUUUU
ensembl:snRNA U6 U6 spliceosomal RNA